UGUAUGUGUGUGUGUUUGUAUAUAUAUGUAUAUAUGUAUAUAUGUAUAUAUAUGUGUGUGUGUAUAUAUAUAUAUACACACACACACACACACACACA